AAUUAUAUGGGUAAUCCUAUGAUGACACAUAAAACUUCGCUUGCUCAAUGACGAGAAGGAUAAUCCGAUAAUGUUGCAGCAUCUCUCUUCUUAGAAAUUAGAAUGGCAGGAUUAUUCCUAUUCAAUUGCAUUCCGGUAAUCUCUUUCCUUUAAUUUCAAUCUGAAUUUGGUUGGUUGUUCGUCAUUUUUCAUACUGUGCUCGAAAUCCGUAGUACGUUUCAGGCAAUUUGCAAUAAUCUGUAGUUCAUUGGUUUCUCUCUCGCUAAUUUUCAAUCCAUCAAAAAAAAAAAAUAAAAAAAAAUCCCCAAAUCAAUUUGCAUUUUGCAAGCUAGGUUUACAAUGUCACCCCUUCCUGUAGAUGUUAUUACUGAUAUUCUGCUCCGAUUGCCCGCGAAAUCUCUGCUACGUUUCAAGAGUGUGUGCAAAUUAUGGUAUGAUACAAUUGAUAGCCCUGAUUUCAUCAAGCGCCAUGUUGAGAAAUUCAAUUUGCAUAUGAUUUUCGCGAACCCAGUUGUUUACAUGUGUGAUUUUGACACAUUUGAUAACCCCACUAAUUUGGAUUACCCUUUCAAGAAUCUGGAAGAUGGGGGUGUUUAUGUGGUGGGAUCGAGUCGUGGUUUGCUUUGUUUCUCUAUGCAUUGUUAUCCCUACACCAUCUUCUUGUACAACCCCACUACACAAUCCCACAAAACCCUUCCCUUUUUGCCAUUGAUGUCUACAUUCUAUUAUCCUAGGGGGCAUGUGUAUCUUGGGUUUGGUUAUGAUCCCGUGUCCGAGGAUUAUAAGUGUGUGAAGAUCUUUCUACGAAAAUCAGAUGCUGAAGUGGGUUCUUUCAAGAGUCAAGUUAUGGUUUAUAGCUUGAGGGAGGAUACGUGGAAGCGGGGGGCUCACGACGUUCCAUACUACUUUUACGGACAUUUUGGUUAUUCUGUCAUGCUUCAUGGAAUUAUGCACUGGUCCAUCGAAGGUGAUCACAGAGUGCCCCUUCCCAUGGUUGGCUUCAAUCUCUUUGAUGAAACUUUUAGCUCCGUGUCAUUGCCUAACUAUCAUACUGAUAUCUGUGUGCGCGCUCACAUAGGAGUGGUUGAUGAUUGCUUGUGUGUAAUGCUCAAUCAUUAUUGUUACUGUGAAGUAUGGGUCAUGAAAGAGUAUGGUGAAGCCACAUCUUGGACUAAGUUGUGCAGGGUUGGGAAACGAGAUCAUUUUGAUGAUCUGAGGCCUAUUUCUUUCUCAAAGAGCCAAAAGGAACUGUUUGUGAUUCUUUUUUUGGUUAAUGUUGCUUCUUUGGACUUGGAAACUUUGGAGAUUACGAAUGUUGAGCCCCCUGGUUUUAAGAGACUCUGGAGUGCGCAUGUAUGUUUGGAGAACCUUCUUGUGUUCAGGGAUGUUAAGGAUGUUGAUAUGGGCACACAACAAUUACGAAACAGAAGCAUCAAAAUGCGAAAGUUAUUAAUGGCGAAAACUGAGAGGCUUUUAAGAAUCCAUGCUACGAGGAUACGAGCCAAUCUUGAGCAGCUCCUCCCGUCCAGUGAAGAAUCUUGAUAGGGGCUACAUUCCAAUAACAUAUUGUGGAGGAAAUACUCAUAAUUUAGUUUUCAGAUGUUGCUAUAGCAACAUUGUCUACAAGCACAUUGCUGAGUGGGUUGGAAGCUUGGAAAGUUAAUGGCCUUGAUUGUGUGCCUACUAUCUGGUAGAAAUGGAGUAGAAAAUACAUGUUUCAAAAGUCAAGAGACAUGUUUUUCUAGCUGUGUUCACUACUGAUGCGUAUCAUAUAUGGAGAUGUUUUGAAGUUGAAUGUUGAAUCUUUGUUAUUCAACCGAGGGCAUAAGUCGAAGGAGCCUUCCAAGGAGAGAUAAAUGAAAAGGAUGAAGUUUGAUGGCCGGGGAGUUCUCUUCUCCCACGAGAAUUUACAACUCCUUCAACGUACAAGUUUCUUUGCGGAUAUUGCACUUUGGUGUUGUAGUUUACUAGAAAAUGUUGUAAAUGUAGCCUCCUAAAUUGGUCAGUGUGCAAUUAGUUUACUAGAAAAUGUUGUCAACGGAUUCUAGGAGUAAGAUCUUCGUAAAUCGUAAGCGCGUUUCAUUACCGCUCACUAGUAUUUUAUCUUCUUUUUAUUUUUUUGAGGUAAAAGGUAGGCCGGCAUUAUCAUUGCAAAUCAAGUUCUGCUAAAGUUUUUUUUAGGACUUAUUAGUAUCGUAUCUAACUCAUCAAUUGUUUGGUUAUAGAAAAAUGAAGAUCUGUAAUUUUUAUCCUGUUAUGUUUUUUAAACAGUUCAAACUUGAACUGUUAAAUGUUUUAAAGUCCUGUUAGGUUGA